CCUACGGGCGGCUGCAGUCGAGAAUCAUUCACAAUGGGGGAAACCCUGAUGGUGCGACGCCGCGUGGGGGAAUGAAGGUCUUCGGAUUGUAAACCCCUGUCAUGUGGGAGCAAAUGAAAAAGAUAGUACCACAAGAGGAAGAGACGGCUAACUCUGUUCCAGCAGCUGCGGUAAUACAGAGGUCUCAAGCGUUGUUCGGAAUUAAUGGGCGUAAAGCGUGCGUAGGCGGGUUCGUAAGUCGUGUGUGAAAGGCGCGGGCUCAACCCGCGGACGGCACAUGAUACUGCGAGACUAGAGUUAUGGAGGGGGAAGCGGAAUUCUGGGUGUAGCAGUGAAAUGCGUAGAUAUCGCGAGGAACACUCGUGGCGAAGGCGGGUUCCUGGACAUUAACUGACGCUGAGGCACGAAGGCGAGGGGAGCGAAAGGGAUUAGAUACCCGAGUAGUC
rnacentral:rRNA from 1 species